rnacentral:rRNA from 1 species
UACGGAGGGUGCGAGCGUUGUCCGGAAUCACUGGGCGUAAAGGGCGCGUAGGCGGCUCGAUAAGGCUGUGGUGAAAGCCCGGGGCUCAACCCCGGGUCGGCCGUGGCGACUGUUGGGCUGGAGCACUGUAGAGGCGGGCGGAAUUCCUGGUGUAGCGGUGAAAUGCGUAGAUAUCAGGAGGAACACCGGUGGUGUAAACGGCUUUCUGGACCAUAACUGACGCUGAGGCACGAAAGCGUGGGUAGCAAACAGG